GGAUUGCUGAUUGCCGCUGCUACUUCACAUUACAAGCUGUCCACCUGUGAACCACUUGAAGACUUUUUUGGGGAAACAGCUACAAGAUGUCCAGAGUUAGUCAUCGGGUGUGGUAACGCCCCCCUUGUUUCUGUGUGAGUGGAAAUGGGGCAUGGAGCCUGGGCGGCACGACUGGGAGGAGAGAUGGCAGCCAGGGUGGCACGCUGCCUGGAGUAGUGCCAACCGCUCUCAACCAGCAUGCGACAGGCGUGGACAGUAAUGGCUGCGUGAUUGGGCUGCACUGGAUGAUGAUUUUAAUAAACACACACACGCAGAGGGGGCCACAGGUCACCGGUGUUUGGAUUCAUCAUCCGCACAGUGUCUGAUGUGAAGCAGUUACGGCACAGCGCCAUCUCAUGUCAGGU